UGGUUAGAUGUGGUUGGCCACAAUAUGAUUUUGACUCCUAUUUCUAAGGUUCGAUUCCUUUCUACCCAA
rnacentral:tRNA from 1 species